rfam:Bacteroidetes bacterium GWF2_33_38 gwf2_scaffold_1771, whole genome shotgun sequence.
ACAGCCGAAGCCGAAAAGCUAUGAAAAAGAGUAGGCA